UACGGAGGGGGCGAGCGUUAUUCGGAAUUAUUGGGCGUAAGGGCGCGUAGGCGGCCUUGUAAGUCAAAGGUGAAAUCCCUCGGCUCAACUGAGGAACUGCCUUUGAAACUGCAAGGCUUGAGGCCGGGAGGGGGUAGCGGAAUUCCCAAUGUAGCGGUGAAAUGCGUAGAUAUUGGGAGGAACACCAGUGGCGAAGGCGGCAUCCUGGACCGGCAUUGACGCUGAGGAGCGAAAGCCAGAGGAGCAAACGGG
rnacentral:rRNA from 1 species